rnacentral:lncRNA from 1 species
ACCUCUGCCGGAAAACUGAAACAGCGAUCUCCACAGCAAAUUCGAACUCGGCUGGUUUAAACUGAGACCUCGAUGACAGAGGUGGCUUGAAAUGGCAAAUAAAGUAAACUCCACUGGUUGCAAACAGAAAAAGGGUGGUCUUCUUGGUUGUGCUGACGGCUAUGGCUGCUAUGCUUAGGCGUUGGAGAAGAUGAAGAAAGGGGACGGGGUCGUUGGUUUGUGAAGAAGAAGCUCGCUGGGGGUGGGGUUUGGGUAUAUGACUGCUGAAGCUUUAGAUCCUUAUACGUUAAAUUCGUUGUUCAUGGCUGCUCCCAAGAGAUGAAUGGACAGCGAGGGGCUUUGCCUUUGUGCGGCGCUCAGAGUG